GGGGCCACACUAAACACUACAAAAACAGACUAGAUUGCUCUUAACCGGUACGCAGUUGUUUAGCACGAUCGACAAAGCGGGGGUUUGGGGCGGUAGCCCGCGAUACUCAGGGUGUUGGAAAUAUAUCUGUUUUGAUUUAUCAUAAUCCAUAUUUGCGUUUAUUAGUUGAUCGUCAACGAAACACUGGCUACAUUUCCUGUGGAGUCUGCCUGGAGGAUUUCUCAACAAACAUCAACUAUCUGUCUGAAGCCAUCGACGUAUACAGUGAUUGGAUAGACGCAUGUGAAUCGGCGAAUAACUAGCAAGAAUUCUAAG